rnacentral:rRNA from 1 species
AUGGCCGCCGACCUCCUGCUCCUCCGCUUCGUGCCGCUCCUCCUGCUGCUGCUAGCGGCGUCUCUGGUGCCGCCCGCCUCCUCCGCGUCGUCGUCGGCGGGGAAGAACAACACCGUCAGCAUCGACUCGGCCACGCUCUCCUUUUCUGACCUGACGCUGCUGGGGGACGCCUUCCUGCGGAACGGCUCCGUGGGGCUGACGCGGGACACGGGCGUGCCGUCCUCCAGCGCCGGCACCGUACUGUGCAGCCGACCCGUCGCGCUCCGGGGCAGCGGCAACGCCACCGCAUCCUUCGCCGCCAGGUUCUCCUUCGUCGUCUCCAACCAGAACGCCGGCUCCACCGGCGGCGACGGCAUCGCCUUCUUCAUCUCCUCCGACCGCGCCACCCUCGGCGCCACCGGCGGCUACCUCGGCCUCUUCAACUCCUCGGUCGCCGCCGCUGCCGUUCCGAAUGACGACGACGCCGACGCCGACGUCGGCGGCCCCGCCAUCGUCGGGGUGGAGUUCGACACUAUGGUCAACGCCGAGCUCGGCGACCCGAGCGACAACCACGUCGGGCUGGACCUCGGCUCGCCGGCCUCCGUCAGUGCCGUCGACCUCGCUGACUCGGGAAUCGUCCUCAAGAGCGGCAACCUCACCACCGCGUGGAUCGAUUACCGCGGGGCCGAACACCUCCUCGAGGUGUCGCUGAGCUACUCCCGUGUCAAGCCGAAGCGGCCCGUCUUCUCCGUGGCCGUCGACCUCUCGCCGUACCUCAAGGAGGCCAUGUACGUCGGCUUCUCGGCCUCCACGGAGGGGAGCACCCAGCAGCACACCAUCAAGGAAUGGACCUUUCAGACCUUCGGGUUGCCGCCGGCGACCAACGCCUCCUCCUUUACCAACGCCACGAGCAAUGUCUCGGAGCCGGUGGUGACCGGCGUGGCCGCGAGCGGCGGAGCCACCAGCAAGAAAAGGUUUGGGCGCGCCAUCACCAUCCUCGGCCCCGUCGCGCUCGCCGUCGCGUUCGUGUUCUUCGCCUGUGUGUCCGUCAAGAAGCUGGCAGAGCUCAGCUCGAAGAAGGACGCUAUCUUCCUGCCGGGGCUGCUCAAGGGGCCAAGGAAGUUCAGCCACAAGGAGCUGAGCAUGGCGACCAGAGGAUUCCACGCGAGCAGAGUCAUCGGCAGAGGCGCGUUCGGCACGGUUUACAAGGCGGCCAUGCCGGGGGCUCCCACCACGUACGCCGUGAAGCGGUCGACGCAAGCGCACCAGAGCCGGAGCGAGUUCGUCGCCGAGCUCUCCGUCAUCGCCUGCCUCCGCCACAAGAACCUGGUCCAGCUGGAGGGCUGGUGCGACGAGAAGGGCGAGCUGCUGCUCGUGUACGAGUACAUGCCCAACGGCAGCCUGGAUAAGGCGCUGUACGGCGACCCCUGCACGCUCUCCUGGCCGGAGCGCCACAACGUGGCCGCCGGCAUCGCGUCCGUGCUGUCCUACCUCCACCAGGAGUGCGAGCAGCGCGUGAUCCACAGGGACAUCAAGACCGGCAACAUACUGCUCGACGGCAACCUGAGCCCCCGGCUGGGCGACUUCGGGCUCGCCCGGCUCAUGGACCACAACAAGAGCCCGGUGUCCACGCUUACCGCGGGCACCAUGGGGUACCUGGCGCCGGAGUACCUGCAGUCCGGCAAGGCCACGGACCAGACCGACGUGUUCAGCUACGGCGUGGUGGUGCUGGAGGUGUGCUGCGGGAGGCGGCCGAUCGACAGGGAGGAGGCCGACAAGGACGGGGCCGGGAGCAAGAACAACGUAAACCUGGUGGACUGGGUGUGGCGCCUCCACGGCGAGGACCGGCUCAUCGAGGCCGCCGACGCGCGGCUGAACGGCGAGUUCGACCGGGAGGGGAUGCUGCGGCUGCUGCUCGUCGGACUGAGCUGCGCCAACCCGAACUGCGAGGAGCGGCCGGCGAUGCGGCGGGUGGUGCAGAUACUGAACCGCGAGGCCGACCCGGUGCCGGUGCCGCGGAAGAAGCCGCUCCUCGUGUUCAGCUCCAGCGCGUCGAUCAAGCUGCAGGAGAUGGCCUUCUCCUGCGGCGACGACGUCAGAGGAGGCUACCCGGCCGCCACCACCACCAACCCGGCGUCCCCGAAAUCGGAGGGAGCCGACAUAGAAAGGUGA